rnacentral:lncRNA from 1 species
AGGUUGUUCUUCAAAAAGUGGUUCUUCACGGAGAGAAAAAGUGGUUCUUCACAGAGUUGUUAAGAUUCAGUGAUAGAACACACGAAAGGCACCCAGCCCCUCGGUCCUGACACAUACAACAGCUGCUCGCCACGUCUGAUCAGCCUGCACAACUGCAUUUCACGUCAGGAUGAAAGCUUCUCCCAAUUAUGGGAUCCACAGCACUUCCGUCGAUUACGGAAGAGGACAACAAACUGUAACAGAACGCGCAUUUCCUGAGACCUCGUCCCUCGAGAAACCACAGCUACUUUCAUAUCACAUCGUGCUUGUGUAGAUAUCACAAAAUAUCAAUUAGGUUCAUCAUGACUUCAAAUUAGGCUCAUAAUCCCGCCCCACAGCUAGAACUUGUUACCUCACGUG